rnacentral:rRNA from 1 species
CGCAUCUGUGCAUGCAGCAUAUCAAUAAGCGGAGGAAAAGAAACUAACAAGGAUUCCCUUAGUAACGGCGAGUGAAGCGGGAAGAGCUCAAAUUUGAAAUCUUCAAGGUUUUACCUUGACGAAUUGUAGUUUAAAGAAGUGUUUUCUGUUGAGGUUUUGGUAAAAGUUCUUUGGAAUAGGACAUCAUAGAGGGUGAGAAUCCCGUAUUUGACCAUUAUUUUCAGCUGUGUGAUACACUUUCAAAGAGUCGGAUUGUUUGGGAAUGCAGUCCAAAAUGGGUGGUAAAUUUCAUCUAAAGCUAAAUAUUGGCGAGAGACCGAUAGCGAACAAGUACCGUGAGGGAAAGAUGAAAAGAACUUUGAAAAGAGAGUUAAACAGUACGUGAAAUUGUCAAAAGGGAAGCGUUUGACACCAGUGUUGUUUUCUCGAAAAUCAAUUAAAAAGAGUUUGAUUUUGUUGUGUAUUGACCUUAACAGCUUGCAUUUCAAUUUUCUUGCUUUUUUUAAUGCACUUUUCGUUUAACAAGUCAACAUCAGUUUCUUUUGUUGUAAAAAGGUCAUUGGAAGGUGGCUUUCUUUUCGGAGAAAGUGUUUAUAGCCUUUGACUCCUGCAAUCGGAGAGACUGAGGUCUGCAGCGUAGAUCCUUCGGGGUUAGAUACAUUUGUGCUAAGUUAUAGCUUUUUAUAGACAACUUGUUGACUAUGAUUAGUCUUGUAGCUUACUCGCUUAUGCUAUUUUACCUACGCUUAGGAUGUUGAUGUGAUACUGCGAGCA